UGUAAGCUUUAGGAGUAGCUAGUUUUUACUAGUUUGAGAAACAUCCUUUGAACCUGAUUUGGUUAAUACCAGCGUAGGGAAAAGUUAUUUCUUUAAU
rnacentral:ncRNA from 1 species